UUAGUUAGCACAAAGCAAUGUUUUGAUUGUUUUAGAAAACUUCUUUCUCCUCACUCUAGAAGAGAACUGAGAAGAUUCUGAAAGAUUGUGUGUAAAUUCCAUCUGGGUUCUUCAAAUUCUAGCCCCCCAAAUUUGAGCAGUUUGUGUUACCCGGAUUUAUCGAAUCAAGGCAGCUGCAAGGAAAUUUGAGCCUUGGCCUGUAGAGAUACGAUUUUGCAAGGAAGCUAGGUACCUUCUAGACUUAUUGGAUAUGAAGAUUUGUAUGAUUGAAUUUGUGAUUAAUACACUUGGAUUUUAUUAAUUUUUUCUUGAUUUUAUAGAGUUUUUCAUUUAAAUUUGUGGGUUUAGUAUAAAUAAAUUGUGAGUUUUGGAAAAUUCUUCAUUAAAUUUCUGGGUUCUUUUGAUGUGGAUUUAUGUGAGAUUAAUCAACUGCAAUGUCGGACAUGAUAAUAUAGGUGGGCAUGUUCAUAUGUUUUUCAAUGUUCUCUUAUAAACUCCUAGUCUUGAAAUAGUCAUCUAUUAAUGAUGGAUUAAUCAAAGUUGGGCAUGAGUUCAUAUGUUUUUCAAUGUUUUUAUAAAAACAACGCAAUUUUCACAUGGUUUUGAGUAGAAUAAUGGUGUUUUAAAUAACAUAGUGGGAGAUUCAUUUGUGAUCAUUUGAAAAUAAAUUUUGAAUACUACACUACCAUUCUGCUUAAAGCGCCCCAAUACAUGCAUAAUUUGAAUGGAUAUGUAAAUGUUACUUAAGAAACUAACAUCAUACAAAAUUUAAAUGAUUCUAUUUGUUUCUAUCUUUUUUUGGAUUUGUUUCCUAUUGGCCAUUAUGAUUUUGUCUGGCUAAUGGACUCUGAAAAUGUGUUUUAGCUUUUUUAAUUCAAAAAACUUAAACUGAUUUUGUUUGCCGACGAUUUGUUAUGAGGUAUUGCUAUAACAUGGAGAAAUUGACACUGAUUCUAUUAUUAUGUGUACAUCAGUUUGUAAUAUCUAAUCUUAAAAUAUUUUUUUUGGUUGUCAGAACGAAGAAGAAGGCAUUCAAAUUACUUUUUCUCCAAUCCAUUUCAUCAAUUUAUCUAUGCAGAUAUUCUUAAUUACUGCUGAUAUCUACUGCUGAUAUCCUACAUCUCCCACCUUGCAGAAACUACAAGGUAUGCUUCCACUCCUCAUGGUGGCUAAUAUCUUACAAGGUAUGCUUCCUGGUGGUUGAUUGCCUAACGACAUACAAUGUCAUCUUCGGACGCACAGGCAUCAAUGAUCUCAAGGCCAUG